rnacentral:rRNA from 1 species
GAUGAACGCUGGCGGCGUGCCUAAUACAUGCAAGUCGAGCGAACGGACGAGAAGCUUGCUUCUCUGAUGUUAGCGGCGGACGGGUGAGUAACACGUGGAUAACCUACCUAUAAGGCUGGGAUAACUUCGGGAAACCGUAGCUAAUACCGGAUAAUAUUUUGAACCGCAUGGUUCAAAAGUGAAAGACGGUCUUGCUGUCACUUAUAGAUGGAUCCGCGCUGCAUUAGCUAGUUGGUAAGGUAACGGCUUACCAAGGCAACGAUGCAUAGCCGACCUGAGAGGGUGAUCGGCCACACUGGAACUGAGACACGGUCCAGACUCCUACGGGAGGCAGCAGUAGGGAAUCUUCCGCAAUGGGCGAAAGCCUGACGGAGCAACGCCGCGUGAGUGAUGAAGGUCUUCGGAUCGUAAAACUCUGUUAUUAGGGAAGAACAUAUGUGUAAGUAACUGUGCAUAUCUUGACGGUACCUAAUCAGAAAGCCACGGCUAACUACGUG